UGGAGAAUUGCCACAGAUAAACCAAGAGAAUAUUCAUCAUAGAGCACCAAUGUACAAAGAGAUAAAGCUGUCAAACAACGGAGGCUUCAGUGCCACACCUGUCAUGAUACAAAAUGACUUUCAGCAAGGCUUCACAGUUGAGUCAACUGUGCGAGGGCCUGCUGGAAAUGCUCUGCCCCAAAACUUCAGACCAAGAGAGGGAAAUGGUUUGACCUUGGAGACAACUGGAGGUAUCUCAAAUGACCCAGUUAUGUUGGGCAACACGUUUGGCGG